GCGUUUUGCCUAUACACUACCGUUACCGG
rnacentral:sRNA from 1 species